GCCCCAACAAGCCCAACAACCAACAACCAACAACCAACAACCAACAACCAACAACCAACACAUUUGACACAGGAAGUAGCUGCGACCGAACCCGCCUAAUCGACGCAAUAGAGGUAGUACUGCAAAGGAAAAGUGAAAGACGCUACAAGCCAAAAAAAGCAGGAAUAAAACCCCGUACCUCUUGCAUCACAGUCUAGCAAGAAUACACAGACAAAAAGCCUUCAAGUCUGUCAUCCCGAACGCAAGUGAGCUAUUUCCGGGCAGUAAUUGAACCAACCCAUUUCUGUAGCAAAAGAACGGGAAGACCCGGAAAUAGAGGCGAAAAACCAACCGAACCUGCUGAUAGCUGGUUGCCCGAUAAACGAAUUUAAAUUCAAACUUGAGUAACGACAUCAUAAAGUAAUGUAACCUUUACCCAAGAAUUAGUCAAUGAAGGUACAGCUCCAUUGACCUAGGAUACAGCCUCCAUCAGAGAGUAAUUUUACUAACACUAACUGUUGACCUCAAAACAGCCACCAAAAAAUAUAACGUUACAGUAACAGGAAAAAAAUUCUAAACUGACUGACCUCCUGGUUCUUUCCCGGGCCACUCUAUCCACAAAAUAGAAGAAACCAUGCUAAAACAAGUAAUAAGAAAAAUUCUCCACGGACAAAAUUCUACCAUUAUCAGACCAAAAACGGAAACAUGAAACCUGCUUAACGCACCAUAAACCACACUGUAAAACCAACCCCGGAUUGUCCACAGAGUGAUUUAAAGCCUAAAAAGGAACUCGGCAAAAAUAUUUGACCUUUCCAACUGUUUACCAAAAACAUAGCCUUUAGAUUUUAAUAAUAUUAAAGGUACUGCCUGCCCAAUGAGAGUAAAACUCUUAAAUGGCCGCGGCAUAACCGUGCAAAGGUAGCAAAAUCAUUUGUCCCCCAAAUAGGGACCAGUAUGAAUGGCCACAUGAGAAAGAAACUGUCUCUUUAGGCCCCUCAAUGAAACUGAUCUGUCUGUACAAACGCAGACAUAAAAAAGCAAGACAAAAAGACCCUGUGAAACUUUAAGAGUCAGUCAUACAAUUGACCAAGACACUUUCGGUUGGGGCAACCAAAGAGAAACAGAAACCUCUUUAACCGCCACACGGCAAACAAGCCUAACGGCAAAUCUACAGACCCAGUAUUACUGAGAAAAGAACCAAGCUACUCCAGGGAUAACAGCGCUACAUUCUUGAAGAGUCCAUAUCGACAAGAAUACCUACGACCUCGAUGUUGGAUUAGGAUAUCCGAAUGGCGCAAAAGCUAUUAAUGGUUCGUUUGUUCAACGAUUAAAAUCCCACGUGAUCUGAGUUCAGACCGGAGCAAUCCAGGUCGGUCUAUAUCUGCUAAAAACUUCACCCAGUACGAAAGGACCGAUGAAGAAAGGGCUAUUUUAAAUAUACCCCUUACCACCUAAAAACUGCAUAAGAAUUAAGUUUCGAGCAGUACCAAUAAUGCCCCCAAAAAAGGGGCCGCCCACACGACCAGCGUGUGGGCAAUUUUGUCC
rnacentral:rRNA from 1 species